CUUGGCGACCAUAGAGAAAGGGGUACACCCGUUCCCAUUCCGAACACGGAAGUUAAGCCUUUCAUCGUCGAUGAUACUGCUGAGGAGUCAGUGGGAAAGUAGACCGUUGCCAAGA
rfam:Desulfovibrio bizertensis DSM 18034 genome assembly, contig: BR26DRAFT_scaffold_1000